rnacentral:rRNA from 1 species
CCUAGGGGAGGCAGCAGUGGGGAAUAUUGCACAAUGGGGGAAACCCUGAUGCAGCGACGCCGCGUGAGGGAAGAAGUAUUUCGGUAUGUAAAGCUCUAUCAGCAGGGAAGAAAAUGACGGUACCUGACUAAGAAGCCCCGGCUAACUACGUGCCAGCAGCCGCGGUAAUACGUAGGGGGCAAGCGUUACCCGGAUUUACUGGGUGUAAAGGGAGCGUAGGCGGCAGAACAAGUCUGAAGUGAAAUGCCAGGGCUUAACCCUGGAACUGCAUUGGAAACUGUGCAGCUAGAGUGUAGGAGAGGUAGGUGGAAUUCCUGGUGUAGCGGUGAAAUGCGUAGAUAUUAGGAGGAACACCAGUGGCGAAGGCGACUUACUGGACUAUAACUGACGUUGAGGCUCGAAAGCGUGGGGAGCAAACAGGAUUAGAUACCCUUGUAGUC